GACAUCUGAACCAUUUCACACCAAACCACUCUGAUUACAGCUCACUAACUGAAUUAUGAAGGAAUUCUCGUUUAAAGCUGUGAGGCUGAUCAUUAUAACACGUUAAAAUGAUUCAGGUUUCUAGGUUUUUGACCCAAACGCACUUUCAGAUGCAGCACCUUUGGGGUUCCUUGCCCUCUACAUCUGCAGUGACGUCAGGCUGCUUUUAGGACCCUCAGCCUCCAGCAAGGCCUACAUCCUGCAGCUCCUUCCUGACCUUCACUGCCCACACACACAGGUCAGGUCUGUUUGGGAUGCUGGCCGCAUUUUUCACACAGAUUAUUUACACUGCAAAAAAUGGUCCCUUGUCAUAUGAAAUGAUCUUUUUUUUUCUUCUUUUUUUUUUACAGACAGCUUUGUUCUUUGAUAAUGUUCCUGACACCUGGACUAAAUUGGCUUACCCCUCUACCUACAACCUGGCACAGUGGUAUAAUGAUUUAUUGCUCCGCUGCAGAGAGCUGGACAGCUGGACUCAGGAUCUCUCUCUGCCUAGUGUAGUCUGGCUAUCAGGACUGUUCAACCCUCAGUCUUUCCUCACAGCUGUGAUGCAGAGCUUGGCACGUAAGAAUGAGUGGCCACUAGAUAAAAU